rnacentral:rRNA from 1 species
AUGCUGACCCUAAUUGAUGCUGGACAGGCUGCAAGAGAUCCAUCGCCUCUACAUCGAGCAGCCAAGGUUUUGAUCAACUUGCAAUCAGUGGAUGGAGAAUUUCCUCAGCAAGAGAUGAUAGGAGUGUUCAACAAAAACUGCACCAUCAGUAACUCCCAGUACAGGAAUAUCUUUCCAAUUUGGGCUCUGGGAGAGUACCGGUGCCGAGUCUUGGCCCCUGGCAAUUAG